rnacentral:rRNA from 22 species
UACCACUUUGUGAUUCAUGACUGGGGUGAAGUCGUAACAAGGUAACCGUAGGGGAACCUGCGGUUGGAUCACCUCCUUACCUUAAAGAA